rnacentral:rRNA from 1 species
ACGGAGGGUGCAAGCGUUGUUCGGAAUCACUGGGCGUAAAGGGCGCGUAGGCGGCUUGGCAAGUCAGAUGUGAAAGCCCACGGCUUAACCGUGGAAGUGCAUUUGAAACUGCUUGGCUUGAGUAUCAGAGGGGAAAGUGGAAUUCCCGGUGUAGAGGUGAAAUUCGUAGAUAUCGGGAGGAAUACCGGUGGCGAAGGCGACUUUCUGGCUGAAUACUGACGCUGAGGCGCGAAAGCGUGGGGAGCAAACAGG